GGAGUUAUAAUGACUCUUGAAUGACUUAGUACUCACAGGUUCUUGAUUGCAGUGUUAGACGCGCUGGCACAUCCAUACCUGAACUCUCUACACGACAUUAGCGAUGAGCCAGAGUGCACGAUACCUUUCAACUUCGACUUUGAGCAGCACGCACUCUCAGAGGAGCAGAUGAAGGAGCUCAUAUACCGUGAAGCGCUUGCAUUCAAUCCAGAGUAUCAGCCAGCAAUAGCUUGAAUGGGAUCAGGUUUGGUUUGGUUUUGAUCUUGACAAGAUUCUUGAAAGGAGGAAACAUCAUUGUUUCUCUUCUGUGUAUACUCGUGAGAGAUGCUUGAAGGGGGUAUGUGGGAUCAAUGUGGCUCAAACGUUAAGUCUCGGUAAUGUUUUUUUUUCUCUACUUUUGUCUUCUACGUAUUGUAAUUUACCCUCAUUUCUUGUUACAAGUAUUAAGACAUAAGUUAAGAUCGUCUCAGAAAUAGUUUUCAUGUAUUACAAGAUGUUCGUUUCCAGCAAUGUCAAUUUUUUUUUUUUGCUUUGUAAAACAUAAGGAAUAUGAGAUUAUUGUAAUUUUGAAUUCCAAAAAGAUCAAAUAAUAACUAUUAAUAUUGCAGAGAAGAUGAGAAUAUGAUUGAAUGAAACAACUCUUGACCUCAUCUUUACUUUGGCUUGAGUUUCUGCCUCUGUAUUACGAUAGUUCAGAACUAUAUAACCAAAUUAUACCUCACGAAAUCGAAAAAGGCACAUAACUAAACCCAAGAAUAUGCGACCUUAAUCGCUCCAAGUAGCUUACUAUUCUCAAGUGAUUUUCACAUAUCUAUUCAGUAAGAGGCAUUUGGAACCUUAGAUGAUAUCAGCUUCAAGUGAGAUCUCAUCAAAAAUAGAGUUUUAAGAAAUAACUACCCAGAUUCUUACGAAACUAGCCAUUAUCUUUGGUAUGAUUGAAAUUAUCAUUAUAGUUUUAGUAGUUACUAGUUAGUAAUAAUGAAAAAACAAUGUGUGUAUAUAGGUAUAAUUUAGUUUCUUGAUGAUGAUUUAGCGUUGUUUACAAAUCAUAUGUAAUGGAAUUAUUUCAAAACAAAGCAUUAACGGAAACAAAUUACCGGUAAAUACGUAAUUGACAAUUUUACCAAAAUUAAGAUUCUGUUUUAAAUGAGAGAGCAAAGAGAAAUCAGAUAACCAUGUACAUUCCAUAACAAUAAAUAAUCAACCAAAGCAAUACAAUAGAAACAACCCAAUUUUAGCCGAUGAUUACUAAUUAGUAACAAGAUUCGAGUUCUUAUUUUUAGAAAUAGAUGUAUUCUAAUAGUUCAUGGAAACAUAUUAACUCUAUAUAAGCAUAUACAGUAGAGCAACACUUCUCAUCGUGUCUUAUUCAUUAGUAACACAAAAUCCUUACUUUUAUAUACACCCUAAACAAAAUAAGAAGAUGACUUGCAUUACUUCUACGUUUAAGGCUUUGUGUUUGUCUUUCUUGUUCGUCACAGCCGUAGCAAGUCGUCCGACCAACAGGCCGAAGGUCUUUAACGUCCAACGUUAUGGUGCCAAAGCUGACGGAAAAACUGAUAACGCCAAGGUACAUACAUAACCAAUAUAGAAUCACUCAAAAAUAAAUAUUUUACCGACUUUUUUUUUGUUUAACUUGUUCAAAAUUAGGCGUUCACAAGCAUAUGGAACAGCGCAUGCACAAGGAAAGGUGGUAAUAGUAAAAUCUACGUGCCCAAAGGAACAUUUUAUCUCAGUGGUUUAGAGUUCGUAGGGCCAUGCGUGAAUCAGAUUGAAUUCGUUAACGAUGGAACUUUGUUGGCUCCUGCAAACCCUAGGGACAUUAAGCAGGACAUAUGGAUCAAGUUCAGGUACAUUAACAAUCUUAUUAUCUCCGGUGCCGGUACACUCGACGGCCAAGGGAAAGAGUCUUGGCCACUAAAUGACUGCCACAAAAAUCCCAAUUGUCCUAAGCUAGCUAUGGUACUACUUCUUAAUCCUUUUACAUAUUGUUUUAUUAUAUGAUCUUACAAUGAAAAAUUUUCAGUUAUUUUCUAUUGCACGUUGAAUUUGUAGAUUUUAAUUAUUUAGAUACAAACGUUAUGAAAACGAACAUAGCUACAUUUUAGAGCUUGCCCAUUUGUAAAGUAUUUCAAUAUGGUGUCUCCACUAAAAAUCAUAUUUUAAGUUAUUAAUUAUGUUACAAUAUUUAUAUAGAGUUGCAGUUCUAAAACGCAGUAGAGUAUCUACUAAAAUAUCGUAGAAGCUAAGUUCUUAUUUGAAAAACUAUUGUUUCACUUUUCUAUUUUUAUUUCUUUUGUUUUAAUUUUUAGAUACCCAAAGAGUGCUUUUGAUUCAGGUCACCUAAUGUCUUACUAAACUUAACUAUUUUCACAGACCAUGGGAUUUGCAUUCGUGAACAACUCAAGAAUCAAUGGGAUAACAUCACUCAACAGCAAAAUGGGACACUUCAACUUCUUUUAUGUCCAUCACUUCAACAUCACCAACGUCACUAUAACAGCUCCUGGCGAUAGCCCCAACACUGACGGGUUAAAGUUCGGGUUCUGUAGCAACAUUAACAUCUCCAACACACACAUUGGUACGGGAGACGACUGCAUCGCCAUCCUUUCUGGAACCACCAACAUGGAUAUCUCUAACGUCACCUGUGGUCCCGGACAUGGGAUCAGUGUCGGAAGCUUAGGGAAGAACAAAGAAGAGAAGGACGUUAAUGGCUUAACCGUAAGAGACAUAGUCUUUAACGGAACUAGCGAUGGUAUUCGGAUCAAAACUUGGGAAUCUUCAGCUUCGAAGAUAUUGGUUUCUAACUUCGUGUACGAGAAUAUUCAAAUGAUUAACGUUGGAAACCCUAUCAACAUCGACCAGAAGUAUUGUCCUCACCCACCCUGUGAAAAGAAGGUGAACUCUCUACGCUAAAUACAAACUUACAUAAUUCCUUUCUCUUCUUAUCACAACAAAAAAAAGUUGUGUUUCAUUAUUUUUUUCAGGGAGAGUCACAUGUUCAAAUCCAAGACCUUAAGUUAAAGAACAUAUAUGGAACAUCGACGAACAAAGUGGCGGUGAAUCUACAAUGUAGCAAGAGCUUUCCGUGCAAGAAGAUUGAGCUAAUUGACAUUAACCUAGAGCAUAAGGGAGUCGAGGGUGGUCCUUCCACUGCGGUAUGUGAGAAUGUUGACGGUUCUGCACAUGGCAAGAUGGUUCCUCAGCAUUGUCUGAACUGAUUUGACAACCCAUAGGAUCAAUGACCGUGCGUUGUACUACUUUAUAUUUUCUGUGUUUUUGUAUCAUUUAUAAUCUCUGUGUCUUUGCUUCUUCUUCGUUCUUUUUCUGGUAGUUUAUGAAAGUUUUUGAUUGGUGCAAUAAUAAAGAAGUGAAUACACUUUUGUGUUUUUUUCGUCUUUGGUCUAUUUUUUUCGUUUCAUAGACAAAAAAAAGAGAGUUCAAAUCUUAAGUCUUGAAAGGUUUUCUUUCUCUCUUUCUUGUUGCAAGUAUUAAGACAUAAGUUAAGAUCGUCUCAGAAAUAGUUUUCGUGCAUUACCAGACGUUCUUUUCCGGCAUAUAGUAUCAAAAGAUCUUAUUGUUUAAGAUGUGAGUCUCAGAAUAAUGUGUAUAUCAUCUCCAACUAAUAUAACGAUUACUAUCUUUGUGCUAUCAGAUUGUUGCAAUAAGAGACAUAAUACCACCACCGCUAAGGACCGUUUUCAAUGAUGUUUACAUCGCUUAUGAGCUAAUGGACACUGAUCUCCAUCAGAUCAUGCGCUCUAACCAAGGCUUAUCCGAAGAACAUUGCCAGGUUAUCUUUAAGUUCUUGAAACCUGUAAUAAUUAGUUUAUCUUUCGUCUUGUGUGCAGUACUUUCUUUACCAGAUCCUCCGUGGAUUGAAGUACAUUCACUCCGCAAAUGUGCUUCACCCUGAUUUGAAACCGAGUUACCUUUGAAGCUCUAUUUGAUGCUGUAAAGAAACAUGUUGAGAGACACUUUUUUUUUUCAGCUCAUAGGAACACCAUAAGAACAAGAGGAUGAAUUCUUGAAUGAAAAUGCAAAGCGCUACAUAAGACAACUUCCACCGUAUCCUCGCCAAUCCAUCACUGAUAAGUUCCCAAAUGUGUAUCCUUUAGCAAUAGAUCUUAUCGAGAAGAUGCUAACGUUUGAUCCUAGACGGAGAAUCACAGGUCACUCCCCACUCUAUAAGGAGUUAUAUUGACUCUUGAAUGAGUUAGUUUCUUACAGCUUCUUGAUUCUUGAUUCAGUGUUAGACGCGCUGGCACAUCCAUACCUGAACUCUCUACACGAGAUUAGCGAUGAGCCAGAGUGCACGAUACCUUUCAACUUCGACUUUGAGCAGCACGCACUCUCAGAGGAGCAGAUGAAGGAGCUUAUAUACCGUGAAGCGCUUGCAUUCAAUCCAGAGUAUCAGCCAGCAAUAGCUUGAAUGGGAUCAGAUUUGGUUUGGUUUUGAUCUUGACAAGAUUCUUGAAAGGAGGAAACAUCAUUGUUUCUCUUCUGUGUAUACUUGUGAGAGAUGCUUGAAGGGGAUGUGGCUCAAACGUGAAGUCUCGGUAAUGUUUUUUUCUUUCUUUCUCUUUUUGUCUUCUACGUAUUGUAAUUUACUCUCAUUUCUUGUUGCAAUUAUUAAGACUUAGAUUUAAAGAUGUCUUUCACGAUUACAAGUGUUCGUUCCCAGCAUUAUCAAUUUUUUUUUUGCUUUUUAAAACAUAAGGAAUAUGAGAUUUUUGUAAUUUUUUGAGUUCCAAAAAGAUCAAGUAAGAACUAUUAAUAUUGCAGAGAAGAUGAGAAUAUGAUUGAAUGAAGCAACUCUUGACCUCAUCUUUACUUUGGCUUGAGUGUCUGCCUUUUGUGUUUCUUCUCCCUUUUUGAUCUUUUAGAACUUGACCUUGAUCUCCUUGAUUCCACUUCUUCGCCACUUGAUGAUUCAGAAGAUGACCUUGAGUCAGAUGAUGGCCUUCUGGAGUGCUGCAAAUCAGAGAGACGCGCAAUGUUAAUAGAAGUUAAGCUACAAGCCAGAAAAAAACAUUACAGAAGAUAAUCAAACUAAAACUAGAUGUAGUUGUGUACUUGUGUGCAAAAGAACUUGUUGAAGUAAGAACC
rnacentral:lncRNA from 1 species